ensembl:misc_RNA Y_RNA Y RNA
GGCUGGUCCAAAGGUAGGGAGUUAUCUCCCUUGAUUGUUCACAGUCAGUUACAGAUUGAACUCCUUGUUCUACUACUUUCCCCCCUCCUCACUACUGCACUUGACUACUCUAAA